GGGUCAGUAGGUUGGUCGUGCCACCGGUACGUACUGGUCUCACUGAUUCCUCCUUCCUGAGGAACCGUAAUGCCAUUAAUUUGGUGUUGCGGGGAAACAGGACUGUUACUUUGAAAAAAUUAGAGUGUUUAAAGCAAGCUAACGCUUGAAUACAUUAGCAUGGAAUAAUGGAAUAGGACGAUCGAUCCUAUUUUGUUGGUUUCUAGGAUUGACGUA
rnacentral:rRNA from 1 species